rnacentral:rRNA from 1 species
GAUGAACGCUGGCGGCGUGCCUAAUACAUGCAAGUCGAGCGAACGGACGAGAAGCUUGCUUCUCUGAUGUUAGCGGCGGACGGGUGAGUAACACGUGGAUAACCUACCUAUAAGACUGGGAUAACUUCGGGAAACCGUAGCUAAUACCGGAUAAUAUUUUGAACCGCAUGGUUCAAAAGUGAAAGACGGUCUUGCUGUCACUUAUAGAUGGAUCCGCGCUGCAUUAGCUAGUUGGUAAGGUAACAGCUUACCAAGGCAACGAUGCAUAGCCGACCUGAGAGGGGGAUCGGCCACACUGGAACUGAGACACGGUCCAGACUCCUACGGGAGGCAGCAGUAGGGAAUCUUCCGCAAUGGGCGAAAGCCUGACGGAGCAACGCCGCGUGAGUGAUGAAGGUCUUCGGAUCGUAAAACUCUGUUAUUAGGGAAGAACAUAUGUGUAAGUAACUGUGCACAUCUUGACGGUACCUAAUCAGAAAGCCACGGCUAACUACGUG